ensembl:lncRNA
UUGUGUGGUUUAGGUAUAAGAGUAAUUGUGGCUUCUGUUCUCAUUCUAGGUUCCGGAUCAGAACCUUUCAAGACUCUUUAUUCUGAUUUAAAGUUUCCUCUCACCUUUGUUCUGUGGCCUCUGACCUAGUGUUCCACCUCCCAUCCCUCUCUUAGUUACGCCUGCUUUAUUCUGAACUGAAAAGUUGUUCUAGAAAACUCCAAUCACUCCUGCACAUAGUCACUUCUUGCUCACAGUCAAAACAGUAGUAUAUGUAGUCCUUCUGCCUUUCUGCCUUUCUGCAGGCUGCUGAGGCCAGCGCAUGUCUAUGGCCGCUGGCUUCCAUCUCUGCUUGGUCCAGCAGGCUGCCCUUGACAGUUAGGGGCUGGAGCUGCUCUUUGCCCUGUAUCUGCUGGCCUCUCUGGGAAGGUAGAUCAGGCUCUCAGAAUUCCAGUGCACUAUUUUUGUCUAGGGGCCAUUGCAGGCUCCUCCCAUAGGCGCAUGCUGGGUUCUGACAGGCCCAGGCUACUCAGUUGCUCUGCUGCACCAGGGAAGUUCAUUAAAGCUGCUGCCUGAGAGAGACCUUUGAUCAGCACUGCACCCUCCAGCUGUAUGGGCUCAGGAGUCACCAAUUAGAGGAGCAGCACCCAGGAGGUGCACUGAGGUGCCAGUAGCAGAGCCCUUUCCUCUCACUUGCCUUCUUGUAUGACAGAGAACCACUGCCUAGGAGUGGUGCUGCCCACAGUGGUCUUUAUGGAACUCCUCAGGGACCAAGAAAAUAGCCCAUGGAUGUGACCACAGGAAGAAAAGUGGAGUCCUUAGGUUGGACGCCCUCGCCUCCGGCUUUUAGCAGAGGUAUCUGGAGCCCCCUCCGACAGCCUCUAUCCCCAGAGGCAGGAAGACAG